UGACAAUCAGCCUAGGAAGGAAGCACUACUUACUAGUGAUAGGGCUUGGUGAGACUGCUGAUUGGUUUUGUCAGCUGACUUACUUGAAUGUAGUUGUCAACAACUCCCCAAGCAAAGUCACAGGGAAAUGUCCCUUCUAGAGGCUGAUUUUCAGAAAGUCAACAUAGAAGAGUCCACGCCUGAUGCUGUAACCUCUGUGCCACUCGAAACCAUCCAUGAGGGACCACGCGGUGUACCCGAUGACAUCCACCCCAUCCAGCUUGAUGGCUGCAAAGGGAAGAGAGGACAAGAGCAACAUGACCCUUCGCUGGGCACUUGCAUCAUGGUUCAAGAGCAGCUGAGUGUUUCCUACUAAAAUAAAUAGAGUGUAAUGCUU